AGAUCUUUCAUGAGGAUGAGAGGUCUUAACAUUUCGAGGUGGUUACUCAUCCCACCCAACAGGAUUCUACAUCCUGCGGUGCAUUUGUUUGCAAACUUGCAGAGAAUCUUCUUAUGGAGGAAGAAAUUACACUCGUUUCAAAUGAGGAAGGGACUGCAUCAAUGCGCAUGGAUAUUGCAGGAACGCUUUUGAGAGAAUCUGAUGACCUUUCUCAACUGUGCCAUUACUGUGGAGAACAGGACAAAGACCAAACUGACCAAUGGGUAAAAUAAGACACUGCAAAACAUAAAUGUUGCUGUUCUCUAGUAAAAUGUAACCUAUUAUAUUUGUUUGUUCCUCUUUAGAUUGAAUGUACUGAAUGUGGAAGGUGGUACCACUGGGACUGUGUGAGCAGACCCUCCACAGCUGGCAAAUACACCUGUCCUGCAUGCAUUUAAUGCAUUUGUCCUGUGUCCUCAUAUAAAAUAUAAUAAAAAUAAAUAAACUAAACUAGAAAAGCUUUUUUCACAUUUGUCUUCUAAACUCUGGAAUAGGCUUCCUGAUAAUGUUCGGGGCUCAGACAUUCUCUCAUUUUAAAUCUAGAUUAAAGAAGCAUCUAUUUAGCCAACAUUCACAUAACCGUGUACUUGAUAAAAUGCUAAUUAUCUUUUGCCUAAAAUGCUACACACUGCAGCGACGCUAACCCUUCUUCAUUGCUUUUCUGUUUCCACCUUGGAUGGGAAUCCUGAGGUACAGGCAAAUAGAGAAGAGCUAGGAACUAAAUUGCAGCCAUUCCAAUUCGGAUCCAGCUGAAGAUUUCAGAUGACCCCAGCACCUAGAACAGAUGACAACCCCUAAACUUCAUAUGACACCAA